GUAGGGUGCAAGCGUUGUCCGGAAUUAUUGGGCGUAAAGAGCUCGUAGGCGGCUUGUCGCGUCUGCUGUGAAAACUGGAGGCUCAACCUCCAGCCUGCAGUGGGUACGGGCAAGCUAGAGUGCGGUAGGGGAGAUUGGAAUUCCUGGUGUAGCGGUGGAAUGCGCAGAUAUCAGGAGGAACACCGAUGGCGAAGGCAGAUCUCUGGGCCGUUACUGACGCUGAGGAGCGAAAGCAUGGGGGAGCGAACAGGAUUAGAUACCCUGGUAGUCCCAUGCCCGUAAACGUUGGGAACUAGAUGUAGGGCCUGUUCCACGGGUUCUGUGUCGUAGCUAACGCAUUAAGUUCCCCCGCCUGGGGAGUACGGCCGCAAGGCUA
rnacentral:rRNA from 1 species